rnacentral:lncRNA from 1 species
GGCGGAAGGCGCCCUCCCCGCCGCUGGGCCCGGGCACCGGGCGCCGGGCCGGGGUCCUUCCCGCCGGAGGCGAGCGCCGACUGCUUUGUUUGCCCCCGCCUUGGCGUUGAGAGGGGCUCGUGCUGGGCGCUGCGCCGGGAACGCGGCGGCAGGAAGCACGACCGAUUGCACCGGGGACGCGCGGGGACCCAGGAGUCCGGCCGCGGCGAGGGCCGCGUGACGAUACCGAGGAGAGAACCGGAGAGCGACCGCGGGCUCCCGGUGCUGGGUCCGGGACGCCAGUGAGCACAGACCUCCCCGUCGACGGGGGGCGAUGUUCCCCUGGCCCGCGGGCUCUUCGGGCCGCCGGGGUAUCCCGCCGUUGGGACCAGGGCCCCCGCACUGGGCGACCCCCAAGGCUGCUCCAUGGAGACUCUGUGUCCUCCUCCCCGCCUGGCAGUACCCGCCUCCCCGAGGGGGUCUCCCUGCUCGCCUACGCCCCGGAAGCCGCGUCGGGGGACCCCAGAGUUCUCCCCACUAUGCCUGCGUGCCCUCGCCUUCUGCGCCCUUGCCAAACCCCGGCCGUCCUCCCUGGGCCUGGGGCCUGGAGAGCUGGCGCCGCGGACCCCGGUGCUGCUGGGCUCCCGGGCCUCGCCAUGCACAGGCGGCUGGGCCGCGGACGGCCUGAAGCACCUCGGGGCACAGGCCGGGCGGCCGAGCGACGUGAGCUCCGCGACCCGCGAGGAUGCAGACGUCGCGGUGUGCCCCGACCGUGGAGAGGAGGAAGAGGGCGGAGGCGGCUUCCCGCACUUCGGCUCUGGUUCCUGCACACCUCCGGGCCGCUGCCCUGCUGGUCCUCGGGAAUCUCCGACCAGCCCCGCCCGGUCCCCGCCCAGGCCAGCUAGGGGUCUGGAGUCCCAGCUUGAUGCAGCUAGCAGUCCGCCCCUUGGGUCCAGCUCCCGGCCUCCGUCACCACCUGCGGGCCUCUCCCCGGAGCCUGCGCCUACAGAGCAGCCUAUGCGGGACUCCGAGGCUCCAGAGGGUGGAGACCCUGCGCGGGUCGCGCCUGAGGCACCCGCGCUCAGCCCCUCGACGGCAGACGCAACGCCGGACGCGCCCGGCGAUCUCCGCCAGGAACAUUUCAAUCGUCUGAUCCGCCGUUCGAAACUUUGGUGUUACGCGAAAGGGUUCGCCCUGGACACUCCAAGUUUGCGCCGAGGUCCCGAACGGCCGGCAGCCAAAGCUCGGGGAGCAGCCAAGAAACGCCGGCGGCCAGCGCCGCCCCCGCGCAGUGUACAGCCACGGCGACCGGCCCCGACGCUUCCCACCUCGAGCACCUUCCACCUCCUCGACUGCUUUCCCUGUCCCCCAGCCCUGGUGGUGGAAGAGAACGGAGACUUAGGGCCGGCUUCCUCGCUUCGCCUCCAGGGAGACGCAAAGCCGCCGCCUGCCCACCCGCUGUGGAAGUGGCAGAUGGGAGGACCCGCUGUCCCUGAGCCCCCGGGCCUCAAAUCCUGGUGGGUCAACUUGGAAGAACUCUGAGCGUCGGACCUCUUCCACCCGGGGACAAGUUGGAGCCCCGGAUAGCCUGAGGGCUCCAGGAAGGAGCCUCAAUUCUCAAAUUUAUCUGUUCUCCUUUGCCUUGUGUUUUAUGAGCUGUGGCCCGAGUGACCUCAAAUGACAGUGAUCUUCAAGCACCUGAGAGGUCGAGGUGAUAGUCCUUCUACUCAUCUUAAUGGAGGAUCCAAGGACUGGCGUCUGGGGGAGCCUAUAGAGAACUGCAUGACCAGCCCUUCUCUGUCUUCCCUGCGGGCGGGCAGAGCCUUCACCCCAGGGGAGCAAAGCGGCUAAGGUCCUAAGACCAAAAGAAAGGGACAGAGGGACGGACCUUGGUGAUGGACAAACCGGUUGUUUCCAUGUUUGAAUGAGGGUCAUUUUAGCGGUCUGGGGGCUGUGGUUGGGGUUUGAAGGUGAUUGACAGCUCCCUGGGGGUAUCCCCCACCCCCACUGCCCAGACCUUUAACCCCUUACACCUCCCUUUUCUCUCUUCCUAACCCUUCCUCUCCCCAAGUUCAGGUGAUCCUCCCCUUGUGGAGAGCUGCAGUCUCAGCCUGCAGACUUUACCCUUUUGUCCAGUUUUGGAGUUUCCCUUUGCUGAAAGGCUUGAUGAGGGAAAGAGACCUCCAGCCCAGCGUCCUCCUCAUAUUCGGAGAGGAAAGGAGGCAGAGCGCCGUGUUGUGGGGCCCAAGGCUGGUUUUGCCUGAGGAAGGAGCCAAAAACUCCCUGGGAAAAUGAUGGAAGAUGGAAUAAAUCAAUAAAAUCAAACCAAACAAGUCGUC